CGGGUGCGUAACGCGUAUGCAACCUACCCUGUACUGGAGGAUAGCCCGAAGAAAUUCGGAUUAAGACUCCAUAGUAUCAAGACACGGCAUCGUGAUUUGAUUAAAGGUUACGGUACAGGAUGGGCAUGCGUCCCAUUAGCUAGAUGGUAAGGUAACGGCUUACCAUGGCAACGAUGGGUAGGGGGCCUGAGAGGGUGAUCCCCCACACUGGUACUGAGACACGGACCAGACUCC
rnacentral:rRNA from 1 species